CUCUUUACUUCUCGUACAAUCGCUAUGGCAAUGACACCUACGUUUCAACAACGAUUGAUCGUUGGAACUGAGCCUUGAGUCAAGAAACGCUUGGUGUAACUGCUAUCGAAACCUUGUAAAUUGCUCUAGAGCUCUCGAAUAAAAUAGCUCUCGAAUAAAAUAGCUCUCGUCAAAAUGUGCCGAGCACAACCAUAUUCUUGAAGAAGACGUUUCAGGGUCAAAGUUAGAUCGAUGUCUUCGAACAAAACGAACCCAUUGCCUUCGUAGGUGGAGCUGUCAUUCACUAUAGGCAAGCAACAGACAGAAAUCUUUCGGAAAACAAUGCAUGCUAAUGCUGGUGUGUCGCCACUAUCUGUGCAUG